rnacentral:rRNA from 1 species
UACGUAGGGACCAAGCGUUGUUCGGAUUUACUGGGCGUAAAGGGCGCGUAGGCGGCCUUUCAAGUGACGGGUGAAAGCCCUCGGCUUAACCGAGGAACUGCCUGUCAGACUGGAAGGCUUGAGACCGGGAGAGGUGAGUGGAAUUCCCAGUGUAGCGGUGAAAUGCGUAGAUAUUGGGAGGAACACCAGUGGCGAAGGCGGCUCACUGGACCGGUACUGACGCUGAGGCGCGAAAGCGUGGGGAGCAAACAGG